rnacentral:tRNA from 1 species
GGGCGCAUAGCUCAGGGGUAGAGCACCGCUCUUACAAAGCGGGGGUCGCAGGUUCGAAACCUGCUGUGCCCAC